UGGUAUGAAAAUGAUAUUUUUUAAUGAUUGUUCAUGCAUUAGGGCAAACCCCUGUGUGGCAGGAGCAUGAUGAGUAAAAAAAAUGAAAUAGUAGAAAGAAAGAGGCCGAAACAUAUGGCACGUGGGAAUAAAGUUGCUUUAUAUGUUCCAAGCGAAUGAAGCAAGCGAGAAAAAACCUUUCGUGCAAAUCUAAAUUUGAGACAGAUAUCUUACCUUACACUUUUCCUAAUUUUGGUUUCUUUAAUUCCCUUCAUUUUUUUAUAUCUUGGUUGUACGUAGAACAUUCGGGGGGCAUGCACUGGGCAUAACCCUGGCUUGUGUACCCCAGUGCUAAAUCAGCAGGUGGGUUUUGAUAUCUCUGGAUCUUUAGCAAUUUUAAAACUUUUUAUAGUUGUAAUGGAUGAGAAAAUCCCUGCAAUCUGAUUGGUUGAGAGCAAUGCAAAAAUUUUACUGGGCUGCAUGAACGAUAUCCCGAUAAUCAAAACGCAACGAUAUCCACUGUAAACAAGCAAUCGUCCGAAAAGGUCAUUGUGAUGUCAUCGCGCAUGUACUGUUACCGUCGCUUGUUUACGUCAAAAUUUGAAUUUCGAUCAAAGCAGAAUGAAUCAAAGGAUGCAAAAUGAUCUAUUCCCAUUCAGCCAUUGGACUGAACCGGUACCAAGACCGGAACUGUAACACAGUAAGGAUGGUCAAUAUGAAGCGAGCUUCAUUGAAUUCCUCCAAGAGCUCUGUACUCUGUUCUGAUCAUUUUGAAGAUGCUUGCUUUGACCUGGGCAGACGAUACGUCUUAAACAGGAUGCUGUCCCAACCAUAUUUGAUUUCCCGCCUCGUCUUCAGAAGAAUUCACCCAAACCAAGGUAUUUCCCAAAAGACUUUUCGAUUCAGCAAACAACCUCCCAGAUACUGCAAAGACACCAGUGCCAAAGUCUUCAGCACCUUAAUUUCUCGAAGACCACUCCUACUGAAUACCAGAAAGUCCAAGAGGGGUAAAGUGGAAGUCAACAACAAUAAUGGACUGUAUUAAAACUUGGAGAAGAGGCUGAAAACCACACAGAAGUCCUACCUUAUACAUUACUUGCUUUUAAGUUUGGACAAACAUUGAUUUGCACAACUUUACAACAAAAAAUUUACGCUGUGUGGAUUCUGAUUAUUUAAAAUAGCUCAAUGAAAACGUUUAUCACUGGGCAUGUAACAAAAAUGAAUUCAUUGAAUUUGAAGAUGUCUUACAGUAUAUUCAUUCUGAUUUGAAUGUCAGAAGAGAAAAAAGUUUGUGAAAAGUAGGAAUGACGGCAAGCUGACAGAAGAAUAGAAUACAUGUAGGAUAGAACAAGGCCACAGUUAUAAAUGAGCUGUUGGAUAGAGACAAAAAGAUGAAUUAAGAAUGGGGGUGAUAGAGAAAUAGAGACAGGAAUUGGGGAGCCUGUGAUGAAUGCCUGAGAAAGUAAAAAUUACCAUAUUUUAUUUUUUUAAGGAUUUGAACAGUC
rnacentral:lncRNA from 1 species